UGCAGUCGUACGAUGGUAACCGUUCGGUGGUGGAUUAGUGGCGAACGGGUGAGUAACACGUGGGCAAUCUGCCCUUCACUCUGGGACAAGCCCUGGAAACGGGGUCUAAUACCGGAUAACACUCUGUCCCGCAUGGGACGGGGUUAAAAGCUCCGGCGGUGAAGGAUGAGCCCGCGGCCUAUCAGCUUGUUGGUGGGGUAAUGGCCUACCAAGGCGACGACGGGUAGCCGGCCUGAGAGGGCGACCGGCCACACUGGGACUGAGACACGGCCCAGACUCCUACGGGAGGCAGCAGUGGGGAAUAUUGCACAAUGGGCGAAAGCCUGAUGCAGCGACGCCGCGUGAGGGAUGACGGCCUUCGGGUUGUAAACCUCUUUCAGCAGGGAAGAAGCGAAAGUGACGGUACCUGCAGAAGAAGCGCCGGCUAACUACGUGCCAGCAGCCGCGGUAAUACGUAGGGCGCAAGCGUUGUCCGGAAUUAUUGGGCGUAAAGAGCUCGUAGGCGGCUUGUCACGUCGGAUGUGAAAGCCCGGGGCUUAACCCCGGGUCUGCAUUCGAUACGGGCUAGCUAGAGUGUGGUAGGGGAGAUCGGAAUUCCUGGUGUAGCGGUGAAAUGCGCAGAUAUCAGGAGGAACACCGGUGGCGAAGGCGGAUCUCUGGGCCAUUACUGACGCUGAGGAGCGAAAGCGUGGGGAGCGAACAGGAUUAGAUACCCUGGUAGUCCACGCCGUAAACGUUGGGAACUAGGUGUUGGCGACAUUCCACGUCGUCGGUGCCGCAGCUAACGCAU
rnacentral:rRNA from 2 species